UCCACUUUAGUUUAGUGGUUAGAAUCACCCGCAGUUUGAUUGUUUAGACUCGGGGGGCCGUGGGUUCGAUUCCCGUGGGGUGGCG